rnacentral:lncRNA from 1 species
UUCUUUUUCAGUCUUCAAAAGAUUGGAGGGCACUUCAAACAAGGCGUUGGGAGAGUUUGGAAUGGGGCUGGUCAUGGACCAAGCCUUGAGCGUAAAUCAUAUUCAUUUAUGGUAGAGCUUCAGGUUGGCACUACUUAAAAUUUGGUAAAUUCUAUGCCUAAGCCUAGCCCAUAUUUAGCUCUAAUUUCGAUGAAAGAUAAGAUAGAAGAACAGGUGGUAGGGAAAAAGGACAAGGCU